UUGCAACCAAAUUUUCAGAAAUCAUAAAGUGUAUAGUUAUUAUUGUAUAUACCAAAAAUGGAUUAAUGAAAAACAAUAAAAAGGGCAUUCACCUAGUUCAUCAACUGCAUUUCUGAAAUUGGCAACUUGUUUUAAAGACACUUUCGACGCUUCCUGUUGGCAGCGUUGAGCGUUGAGUACUUGAAGUGCUUUCGCUGCACUUUAGUUGCAUUGUUGUUGUUGUGCGCAACGCGCACGCUGCACGCUUCAUAACAAACCAACACAUACAGAAGAACAACAACACAUCCAUAGAAAUAUUUAAUUCACAAAAGACUUUCAAGCUGUUAUUUAAUUGUUGAUAUGGCAAAAGAGGAGACAAAGUGUUGGUCUGUGUGAAAAUUGUUGAUCGAAUUCCUGGAAUUAGCAGCAAACAAAAACAGAACGGAAGCAUUUUGGCAACGUCGUCAGUUGGUUGGACAAUGUUUGCUGUUGUUGCUGUUGUUAUUGCAUUGUCGUUAUCAAUAUGCAUUUGAAUUUGAGCUGACCCAAUUUGUCAGCGCUUUGCGCUCAAGUGCAGCGGAUAUUCCAACAAUUGUGUUACAAAACCGAAAACGAAUCAAAUAUGAAAACCGCAUAACCUGAGACGCGUUGGCGCGUCAACUUUAGAGUUUGACGCGUGCCCGAGCUGCAUGACUCUCGAAAAUAUAUAGUUUUCUCUCUUUUCAUGCUACUUUUUUUUUUGCACGUCCAUUCGUCGCAUCGGCCCACACACACGGGCAUGGACUUAAUUUACACUUUUGUGCUG